GUUAAUGGGCGCGGCGGUCGCGCGCGAGAGUCUAGCUCUUGAGAAGAUGGGUUCGACUCCCAUAUUGACG